rnacentral:rRNA from 1 species
UGUUGCUUGCAAGGGCGUAUGGUGGAUGCCUUGGCAGACAGGACCGAUGAAGGACGUUUGAGGCUGCGAUAUGCCUCGGGGAGCCGCCAACAGGGCUUUGAUCCGAGGAUUUCCGAAUGGGGGAACCCACCGACCGUCAUGGGUCGGUACCGGCUUCGGCCGGGGGGUACGCAGGGAAGUGAAACAUCUCAGUACCUGCAGGAAAGGAUAUUCCGUGAGUAGUGUCGAGCGAAAGCGGAUGAUGGCCAAACCUUGCGCGUGUGAUACCCGUCGGGGGUUGCGCGCGGGGUGUUGCGGGAUCGCGUGCGCCGGCUCCGACGGGCCGGCCGGCAGUUGCAGAAAACCAUGUGUCAGGGGAACCGGGUUGAAUACCGGGCCGCAGAGGGUGAGGGCCCCGUACCUGAACGCGCAUGGUCUGCCGAUCGCGUCUCCCAAGUAGCACGGGUCCCGUGGAACCCCGUGCGAAUCCGCCCAGACCGUUGGGUAAGCCUGAAUAUUCCUGUCUGACCGAUAGCGAACGAGUACCGUGAGGGAAAGGUGAAAAGUACCCCGGGAGGGGAGUGAAACAGUCUCUGAAACCGUGCGCCUACAAUCCGUC